rnacentral:tRNA from 16 species
UGGGCUGUCGCCAAGCGGUAAGGCACGAGGUUUUGAUCCUCGCAUACCAAGGUUCGAAUCCUUGCAGCCCAGCCA